rnacentral:lncRNA from 1 species
UCAAAAAUGGUAGGAAGCGUGCAAAAGAGUGGGCGCAUGGUUGAGAUGGGUGAAGGAGUCAAAAGAGUGGGCGCAUGGUUGAGAUGCCUGAUAACUGGUAGCUGUAGUUGGCAGCAAUGGAGGUGGUGGGUUGGGCUUCUUUUUUUUUUUUAGGAAAAAUGACUCUUGGGCUUAAUUAUUAACAAGGAAGACUUAAUUAAAACUAGGGCCCAAAAUAAUAUUUGUCAAAGCCCAACACAUUCAAAAAUUAAAGCCUAAUAUAGACUUAAAUUAAAUCAUGUACAAAUAAAUACUAAUCAUAUAGAAUAAUCACAUAUUCAUAUAAUUCAAUUUAUGAAAUGCACAAAAUUUCAAAAGACUAAAUUUUUAUAAAGGCUUCUGAAAAUAAAUUUUGUUGGAAUUUAAAAUAUAAAUCAUUUUUCAU